AAUAUUGCACAAUGGGCGAAAGCCUGAUGCAGCGACGCCGCGUGAGGGAUGAAGGCCUUCGGGUUGUAAACCCCUUUCAGUAGGGAAGAAGCGAAAGUGACGGUAACUGCAGAAGAAGCGCAGGCCAACUAAGUGCCAGCAGCCGCGGUAAUACGUAGGGCGCAAGCGUUGUCCGGAAUUAUUGGGCGUAAAGGGCUCGUAGGCGGUUUGUCGCGUCUGGUGUGAAAACUCAGGGCCCAACCUUGAGCUUGCAUCGGGUACGGGCAGACUAGAGUGUGGUAGGGGUGACUGGAAUUCCUGGUGUAGCGGUGGAAUGCGCAGAUAUCAGGAGGAACACCGAUGGCGAAGGCAGGUCACUGGGCCACUACUGACGCUGAGGAGCGAAAGCAUGGGGAGCGAAC
rnacentral:rRNA from 1 species